CAUAUAUCAAAACCGGAAAAUAAAUAACUAAAUGAAAAUAAAAAGGAAAAAGAUGUGUAUAGAAAAUACUUCUCCCUUCACAACCUUCUUGCAGCCACCGUCUUCAUUGAUCAGUAGACAAUAUUCUCUUGGCACAGAUAGAGCAACAUCAAGCAAAGGAAAUUUACAGUCUCGUAGAAACAAAUACAGAAUUAGAAGCAUCAGAAUGUGAUGAUCUGGUUCCAGUAGAUCACAAGUGUAGCAUUGAGCCAAUAACAACUGGAGAUGUUACUGCAGGUUACAGUGGUACAGCAGCAAAUCAUUUUGACAUUAAAGAGAAAUAUAUAUCUGAUGUUUCCUCUGAAUCCGUCACCGAGUCUGCUGUACUUAUGGAUGAAGAAACUGAAAUGGAACUUGAAGAGCCAUCAACGAUCAUCAAGUGAUCAUGCUUUCUGGCUUGAAAGGAAAAAUAAAAUAAAAAUAAAAUAAAUAGAUAAUUAUCACAGAAUCACUUUGAUAAAAAAUUGGCCCUGUUCAAGAAAAGGCCUAUACGUUAUCAAAAGAUACCAACAGGAGCUUUUCCUCAGAAAAUGAAAUUCGAGAACACUUCUAGAAUUUUUGCCCAGUAUACAAUACAACAUCUGAAGGACUAACCUCCUUUUUACUGGCCUAUUUAUAGAACAAUCAGAUUGCAAUUAAAGAUAUGAGUUGCCAAGGUUAUGAUAGUGGUGCCAAUAUGAAAGGAAAACAUAAUAGCUUGCAGCAAAAAACAAAAUACUCAAUGUCAACCUAACAGCCGUUUUUUGUUCCAUGCAGUGCACAUACUCUCGUUUUGUUUGUCAGUGAUGCUACAAAAAAUGCAUACCUGACUGUAGAUUUUUUGUCAUCAUUUAAGAACCAUCCUUUGAUCGUCCCUGAAUAGGGGUGUGGUUCAGGAGUGUGUGUGUGUGCACGCGCGCAUAUGUGCAUAUGUUUUGGAGUGUAUGUCAACAUGCAUUUUCUGUGUGUGUUUCUGAGAGUACAAAUUUGAGAGUAUGAGUCUGUGAGUGCUCAUGUCUGGAAAUAUGGAUUUGUGUGUGUGUUAAU